UCGUAUAAUGGAGGUGCCGGGGCUGUCGCUAACUUUGUGCAUGCCCUGGUGCUCUCUCGCAAAAUCCAUCUCACCCUCUUUGUGCAUCACCGCAUGGGUGCUCUCCUUUUGGUUCGUUCUGAAAGGGGGCAUUUGCGUUUUUAUACAAACCACUGCAUGUGUAGAAUGUCUUACUAUUUGCAAUAAUGUGCAAUCAAUA
rnacentral:misc_RNA from 1 species